UUUCCGUAGGUGAACCUGCGGAAGGAUCAUUACAAAUGAAGCCGGGAAACCGGUCCUUCUAACCCUUGAUUAUCUUAAUUUGUUGCUUUGGUGGGCCGCGCAAGCGCCGGCUUCGGCUGGAUCGUGCCCGCCAGAGGACACAACUCUGUAUCAAAUGUCGUCUGAGUACUAUAAAAUAGUUAAAACUUUCAACAACGGAUCUCUUGGUUCUG
rnacentral:misc_RNA from 1 species